rnacentral:rRNA from 1 species
AGCAGUCGCCGCGGUAAUACAGAGGGUGCGAGCGUUAAUCGGAUUUACUGGGCGUAAAGCGUGCGUAGGCGGCUUCUUAAGUCGGAUGUGAAAUCCCUGAGCUUAACUUAGGAAUUGCAUUCGAUACUGGGAAGCUAGAGUAUGGGAGAGGAUUGUAGAAUUCCAGGUGUAGCGGUGAAAUGCGUAGAGAUCUGGAGGAAUACCGAUGGCGAAGGCAGCCAUCUGGCCUAAUACUGACGCUGAGGUACGAAAGCAUGGGGAGCAAACAGGAUUAGAUACCCCCGUAGUCCCUGUCUCUUAUAC